CGUCGUCCUUGUUGUUUCUAAAUCAUGCAUGUCAUGAAACGAGGCGAAAUGGGCGAAACAAAUUGUUGCUAAUUAUACUUAUAUUCCUGUUAUUUCCAAUACCAAAUUGAACUUCGUAUCAUAGAUGCAUUGUUACUGUCAGUCAUCCCAACAAGUUGACUUAGCGCUCAGUCACUUUCCAUCCAUUAGAUCAUCAUGCUGUGAAAAGCCUUUAACAUCAGAAAAUUUAUCCCACCUGAGAAGUAAUGCAGUUGGUUGCUGUAAUUCCAUUAUUGCGGUUUUUCAUCAUGAACAUUUCAGUGUGCAUCUUAGAAAAUAGCACUAAAGAUCCCCGUGGACAUCCUUGAGCCAAUGCUGGAUUUGUCCAUGACUGAAGAGGGACUUCCACCAAUGUUCUUCUCCAUCCUUAUCUUCAAGACAUACGCUCAUCCAGCCUCACUACUUCAGUGAGUGAGUCUUUGAGUUAUGCUGCUAGCCUGCUACACUUUUCUUGCUUCACUGGCGAGUUGGAUCACUUCAGUUGCUGUGACACACCUACAGUCACUCACCACGGGAUUAUGGCCAGGUACCGGACAAUUGACUUAUUUUCGUAGAUUAUCUACUAGUAAUCUAUUUGCGUUAAACUCUGUCCGUGUCAUAAUUCCAAAAUCAGGUCCUUCUUGCGCGGAAAAGUGAUCCUUAGACUUAGACGUGUUUCUUUUUUCUAACGCUAGAUGGCUGUUCGAUCAUUUUCAGCUGUCAAAACAGUCAGUUUCAGUUACUUUGCAAAUCUCUUUUAACAU